ACACGACUACAUUAGAUACCCCCGUAGUCCUAGCCGUAAACGAUACUCGCUAGGUGUCGGCCACGGUGCGACCGUUGUCGGUGCCGUAGGGAAGCCGUGAAGCGAGCCACCUGGGAAGUACGGCCGCAAGGCUGAAACUUAAAGGAAUUGGCGGGGGAGCACAACAACGGGUGGAGCUUGCGGUUUAAUUGGAUUCAACGCCGGGAAGCUCACCGGAUAAGACAGCGGAAUGAUUGCCGGGCUGAAGACCCUGCAUGACCAGCUG
rnacentral:rRNA from 1 species